rnacentral:rRNA from 1 species
ACGGGAGGCAGCAGUGGGGAAUAUUGCACAAUGGGGGAAACCCUGAUGCAGCGACGCCGCGUGAGUGAAGAAGUAUUUCGGUAUGUAAAGCUCUAUCAGCAGGGAAGAAAAAUGACGGUACCUGACUAAGAAGCACCGGCUAAAUACGUGCCAGCAGCCGCGGUAAUACGUAUGGUGCAAGCGUUAUCCGGAUUUACUGGGUGUAAAGGGAGCGCAGGCGGUACGGCAAGUCUGAUGUGAAAGCCCGGGGCUUAACCCCGGUACUGCAUUGGAAACUGUCGAACUAGAGUGUCGGAGGGGUAAGCGGAAUUCCUAGUGUAGCGGUGAAAUGCGUAGAUAUUAGGAGGAACACCAGUGGCGAAGGCGGCUUACUGGACGAUAACUGACGCUGAGGCUCGAAAGCGUGGGGAGCAAACAGGAUUAGAUACCCUGGUA